rnacentral:rRNA from 1 species
AUUGAACGCUAGCGGGAUGCCUUACACAUGCAAGUCGAACGGCAGCGCGGACUUCGGUCUGGCGGCGAGUGGCGAACGGGUGAGUAAUGUAUCGGAACGUGCCCAGUAGCGGGGGAUAACUACUCGAAAGAGUAGCUAAUACCGCAUACGCCCUACGGGGGAAAGGGGGGGAUCGCAAGACCUCUCACUAUUGGAGCGGCCGAUAUCGGAUUAGCUAGUUGGUGAGGUAAAGGCUCACCAAGGCGACGAGCCGUAGCUGGUUUGAGAGGACGACCAGCCACACUGGGACUGAGACACGGCCCAGACUCCUACGGGAGGCAGCAGUGGGGAAUUUUGGACAAUGGGGGCAACCCGGAUCCAGCCAUUCCGCGUGUGCGAUGAAGGCCUUCGGGUUGUAAAGCACUUUUGGCAGGAAAGAAAUCGCACGGAUUAAUACUCUGUGUGGAUGACGGUACCUGCAGAAUAAGCACCGGCUAACUACGUGCCAGCCGCCGCAGUAA